rnacentral:rRNA from 1 species
AACCACUGUGCUAUCGCUCCAGCCUGUGCCGGAUCUUGUCUGAUCUAGGAAGCUAAGCAGGGUUGGACCUGGUUAGUACUUGGAUGGGAGACAUCCUGGAAAUACCGGGUGCUGUGGGCC